rnacentral:misc_RNA from 1 species
UUAGUUUAUUUAACUAUUUUCAGAUUUAACAUGGUUAAAAGAAUUUAUUGUGGGCUACUGACGAGCACUGGCCAAGGGUUAAAAACCCCCGACGGUCCGAUUAAAGACGGGCCCGCCAAAGCAACAUGGUAGUUAUACAAAGGGUUGGAGAUCGGGCCUGGAAGACCCUAACUCAUUAAUGAUCCUUCCGCAGGUUCACCUACGGAAA